GUAGGUGUGAAUUUAAUAUAUUUAUGGUGACUGAAUUUAUGUUGAAGAUUUCCUUGAUCAGGAUUGACACUGCAUUGGUUUUACGUUGUUUUGUUGGCUGGUGCUGUGUGUCAUGUGUAGGACUUGCUCUGAUUUCUUCACUCUGUAGAUGAAGGAGACAGAGGCGUAACAAGGAACUGACAUCAAGAAAAAUAGAGCAUACGCAGGAUGAUAACUGAUUAUUACAGUUCAUCCCCAGUUUGGACUAAGAUGUUGAGUGGACACCUGGCCAGCUGUCUGGAGGAGAUAAACCAACCCAUUUAGCAGCCCUUGCAUUACUCUUUGCACUAGAGCUGAAGCCUGAAAUUCUUUACUUUUUUUGUAAUAAGAUUCAGAGGCCGGCGCACUCACAGGAGAGUCAACACUGCAACAGUUCCUCCAAACUUGCUGUCAAUUGACUGUUAGUCCAUAAAAUGUAUUAUUACAGCAUGUUGAAUAAUGCUGAGCUGGUUGAAAAAUGGCAAGGAUUUUGCCUGGAUAUGAGGAAAAUACCGUCUGAGAGCAGAGUGCACAGUCAGGAAAAGGCAGGUUGUAGAGAGUCAUUUAGGUCAGAUUACUCCGUAUGAUGCAAGCACUGCCAUCUCGUGGAUAAUCUAAGGAUGUGGAGAGUUCUGAG
rnacentral:lncRNA from 1 species